rnacentral:rRNA from 1 species
AGUGGGGAAUAUUGGACAAUGGGCGCAAGCCUGAUCCAGCCAUGCCGCGUGAGUGAUGAAGGCCUUAGGGUUGUAAAGCUCUUUCAGUGGGGAAGAUAAUGACGGUACCCACAGAAGAAGCCCCGGCUAACUUCGUGCCAGCAGCCGCGGUAAUACGAAGGGGGCUAGCGUUGUUCGGAUUUACUGGGCGUAAAGCGCACGUAGGCGGAUUGGUCAGUUAGGGGUGAAAUCCCAGAGCUCAACUCUGGAACUGCCUUUAAUACUGCCAGUCUAGAGUCCGGAAGAGGUGAGUGGAACUCCUAGUGUAGAGGUGGAAUUCGUAGAUAUUAGGAAGAACACCAGUGGCGAAGGCGGCUCACUGGUCCGGUACUGACGCUGAGGUGCGAAAGCGUGGGGAGCAAA